GACGAACGCUGGCGGCGUGCUUAACACAUGCAAGUCGAACGAUGUCGACCUAGGUUGCUCGGUCUGAUUAGUGGCGAACGGGUGAGUAACACGUGAACAACCUACCCUUCUCUCUGGGAUAGCCUUGCGAAAUCGGAGCUAAUACCGGAUAUGAUCUUCUGUCCCCUGGCUGGUGUUGGAAAGUGUUUCGGUGAUGGAUGGGCUCGGGGGCUUUCUGUUUGUUGGUUGGGUAGUGGCACACCAAGGCGAUGACGGGUAGCCGGCCUGAGAGGGCGACCGGCCACAAGGGGACUGAGACACGGCCCAGACUCCUACGGGGGGCAGCAGGGGGGAAUAUGGCAAAAGGGGAGAAAGCCUGAGGCAGAGACGCCGGGUGAGGGAUGACGGACUUCGGGGUGUAAACCUCUUUAGGCAGAGAAGAAGCGAAAGUGACGGUACCUGCAGAAGAAGCGCCGGCUAACUACGUG
rnacentral:rRNA from 1 species